AAGCUAUGACUAAAUUACCCACAAUGCAACCAGAAAGUUCAGAGUUCAGUCAAAUAUUCUAGUGUGUGAGAGUGUUUAGGUAGCCUUGAGCUAGAGAAGCUAAGGAGGCCUGUCAUCCGCUAUGUCAAGAGAACCAUAGCGCAUCCCCAAGUCUGGUCCAGAAAAGUCCUGCAGGAUGAUGAGCUUCCCUCUGGCCUCUGCCAUGGUUGGCACAAGUCGGCUGUGCCACAGGAGGUCCCAGUGGGCGUAGCGGUGAAUGUAGCUGACCACAGCCCCGUAGAUGUCGUAGGUCUCACUGAACUCCUCCUUCAGCCUCAUCAGCACCGUCUCAGUGGGAAACUCUUGGAGGAAUUUAGUCACACCCUCCAGGACGUGUCCAAAGUGUGCUCGCUGAUAAGACACCCCGUGGUGAAGGGUGAGAUUCCCCUUGACGUGACGGACACGGACAUCCAGGAAGCGGACCCCUGCCUGGAGCUGGGAGGCCAAGCUCCAGGUCUGACACUCAGCAUACACACCUCCAUACAGGGCCAUGGUGUUGUGUGUUCCUGGCAUGGUGACCUCAGACAGCGGCUGAUCAUCAGGGAUACUAGCCAUCCAAGAGGGGUUGAGGAACUCAGGGGUGGGAGUGUCAUCAUAGUCUGGUCUCUGAACGGCGCCAUUACUCAGAACAGCCACUCUGAAACAGAACAGAGACUGUCUUUAAUGUUCAUACAGAGAGGGUCAAAAGUUAGUCUCUCCUCUUACAAUCCAUCUUUUUAAUAAUUACGGCUACUUUCAAAGCUUUUGUAAGUGAAAUGUUGUGUUUGUUGAAUAUUGUCAGUUAUGUAUUUUAUGUGUACUUACAAUUGUCAAAAAUCUGUUCUAUUCCUCACCUGCUGUCCCUGAGCAAUUUUUCCACUCACAUCUGCUCCUAUCUACCUCUAGGCCACGCCCACCUCUCCAGCUCACCUAUGCACACAGCCUCUCAUCCAAAACAAAGCCAGUGUUAAAGGCUCUCCUGCUCCCUCCCUCCCUCCCUCAUUGCUAGAUUAUCUUUGCCUUCCAUCCAAGACUUCCCAGCAGUCAAUCUUAGACUGGAUCCCUGUUGCUGACCCUUUUUGCUUCUGACCUGCAAUGUUGCCAUCCCCUCAACCCUCUGUCCCUUACCAAUGGUUCACCUUCUGCUUAACCUUCACUUCUCGACACAGCUGAGGUAGUUUUUCUGUGGAUCGCUGUGACUAAGAGGCCCUCAUUAUGUCGCCACUCUCGCCACAGUGCGUGCAUCUUGUGUACACUCACCUGCUGGCUCCCAUAGUCUAAAGACCCUAUCGACUUCUGUCCUGAAAUUUGAUCUGAACUGUGUAACUUAUUGUGUACCUGCCACAGUUUCUAGCACAGGUCAGAACCAACAAUAUGUUUUCCUGGGGAGCAAAGACGCUGAGUUAAACUUCUACAAAUUUUUUGUGAUAAAAAGGCAAUGCAAUUGAACUUAAUCUGUUGAAACGAUGUCUUAUCACUUACCCCAUCAACACCAUCAGCUCAAUAAACAUCUUGUGCAUUUUCACUGGACCUCUCCUGAUGUUGCACGGCAUGUCUGAUGGAUCAGAGCUGAUGAAAGGAUCGAUGAUCAGCACAGAAAAGGGAAAGAAACUGAACUCAACAUUGACUUGAAAAAUAUUUCAUGAGCUUGAGAAGAAAUGUUUGACGACACUGCACCUGUUUAUGACUAUUCAACAAUGAAAUUAAGGUUUUGCCUAAUUAAAUGUAAACAGAUCUUGA